CUACGUGCCAGCAGCCGCGGUAAUACGUAGGGCGCGAGCGUUGUCCGGAAUUAUUGGGCGUAAAGAGCUUGUAGGCGGUUUGUCGCGUCUGCUGUGAAAGGCCGGGGCUUAACCCCGUGUAUUGCAGUGGGUACGGGCAGACUAGAGUGCAGUAGGGGAGACCGGAAUUCCUGGUGUAGCGGUGGAAUGCGCAGAUAUCAGGAGGAACACCGAUGGCGAAGGCAGGUCUCUGGGCUGUAACUGACGCUGAGAAGCGAAAGCAUGGGGAGCGAACAGGAUUAGAUACCCUGGUAGUCCAUGCCGUAAACGUUGGGCACUAGGUGUGGGGGACAUUCCACGUUUUCCGCGCCGUAGCUAACGCAUUAAGUGCCCCGCCUGGGGAGUACGGCCGCAAGGCUAAAACUCAAAGAAAUUGACGGGGGCCCGCACAAGCGGCGGAGCAUGCGGAUUAAUUCGAUGCAACGCGAAGAACCUUACCAAGGCUUGACAU
rnacentral:rRNA from 1 species